AAGAUAUCAAAAAUUAGUUCAAAAUAAGUCCUUCGACGAAAAUUUCUUUUUAAGAAAUGCUUUGCUCCUAAGAAUUAUUUCUUUUUAAGAAUCGAGACGAAAUUUUACUCCUACUUUCAAUCUUAAUUAAACUUUCUAGACCUAUUUUGGCUGCAUUCAGCAGAGAAAGCAGAUUUGCAACUAAUGUGAGAUUCUUCAACAUGAUUGGUUUUGCACUUAGUUCUUCGCGGAUCUAAAUGUAUAAACCAAUCAUAUUAAAGAAUUUUAUAACAAUUGCAAAGACGCUUUUUUCUGCUGAACACAGCCUUUGUUUAUGGAGAGAACAGCGUGCAUUUGUGUGUAUGUGAUUAUUUGGAAAUAAGUCAAAUAUGUGGGACAGUAAAAGAUAAAGCGGAUAAGUUGAAAGGUGUAGAGACAUAAAAUCUUCGUAGAGGCCUGAAAUGACUACAAAGAUAAAUUUUCUAUAAAAAUACAAACAUGGUUAACGAAGUCGAAAAAAUCGAGGUAUGCCGUUUGUGUGGAAAAGAGUCUCGAAACUGUUUUUCAAUAUUUCAAGACGAAGAUAAUAUUCUCGAAAAAAUAAAUACAUGUUUACCGAUCGAUAUUUCUUCGGAUGAUAAAUUGCCUUCCAAUAUAUGCAGAUGUUGCUCAUAUCGUUUAAGUAUUAGUUAUAAACUGCGUUGUACUGCAGUUGAGGUAGAUGAGCGUCUGCGAAUGCAAUUACAUCAAAGGCAGAGCGAUGAUGUCUACACAA